rnacentral:rRNA from 1 species
UCCUACGGGACGCAGCAGUAGGGAAUCUUCCCCAAUGGACGAAAGUCUGAUGGAGCAACGCCGCGUGAGUGAAGAAGGGUUUCGGCUCGUAAAGCUCUGUUGGGAGUGAAGAAAGAUAGAGGUAGUAACUUGCCUUUAUUUGACGGUAAUUACUUAGAAAGUCACGGCUAACUACGUGCCCACCGCCGCGGUAAUACGUAGGUGGCAAGCGUUUUCCGGGUUUAUUUGGCGUAAAACGAGU